UCGCAAUCUCCCACCCAGUCGUCGCACAGUUAACAUCCCUGUUUGUUCGACGGUCGGUCGGUCGGUCGGGUGGUUCAAUCAGCGCAACCAGCGCCAACGGUGAGAAGCGAAGACAACGCGGAAGAGAGCGAGAGGCGGCGCGCGAUGGUGGUUGGUGAGAGUGAGCGAACGAUUGCGAGGAGAGACCGUCGCCGUCGAACACGCGACUUACGUGACGCAGUGUGACGUCAUAGCAGGCUGAUUGGAAUCGAAUGAAGUGUGCGGUGCUCUGAUGAGCGGGUGAGAGAACAGAGAGCGAAUCGAGCGAGCUUUCGCUCGCGAUUUCAUCGCGAAGAAGCUAAAACCUUACGGCGGACGGGCGGUUGCGUUCAGUUGAGCGCCGUACACGUUCGAAGCAGGUCGCGUUCCGUUAGCAAGCCUCUUGCCUCCUCAGUGUGGUGUGGUGGUGUUGUGCUGCUCUACUCUACUCUACAUUCAUCGUAACAUCCCCCUCACAAUACGAGCCUCUUGAGAAUAGAGUGUAAGAUUUUUCCCCCCUCGAUCGAAGAAAAAUGACAGUGUGAGAAGAAGCGAAACGAAGAAGAGCAGAGAGCGCGUGUAGAGAAGAAGCAAGGAAGGAAAGGAAAGUGUUGUAGGAAAAUCGAUUUUACGAAAGUGCGAGAAAGUGGAAGAAAGCUGGUGAACGGAGGAGGUCCUAAGGAGUAACGAACACUACCACCCCGCCCCAGUCAGCGGCCCAACCCCCAGCCGAGAAGGAAGGAUCCCUGCGCCCCAGGAGCAUCCCCCCUUCGCGAGCACCUCCCCCUGCUUCGACUAGGAAGUUGAAGUUGUCAAACAGGAGUUGAAAAA